GCAACAGCCUGGAGCACACGUGUGCAGGCUGGGUGGGCUUCCUGGGCUGGCGGAAGGGGCCCCAUGUACCCAGUGGGGGAUGGGAGUGGGGUGAGACCUACACCCUUGACCUUGGACUCCUGUGAAGCUGUUUAUGGCCUGACACCAACCCUGGAGAGAUGGGUCUUAACCUGAUUUAGCUCCCUUAUCAGUAUUGAUUGGCCACUGUUAGGCGCUGCUCAUUUGGGCCAGCCUGACUGCCUGAGCACAGAUCAACAUCCCCAGCGCAGCAUGGCAGGGCAAAGGCAGUGCCCUCCUUCCCACCCCCCAGAAUUCACCCAGGCCCCCACUGCACACUUCUCUGGGCCUGCCCAGUUCAGUCAUUCACUGUUCUAGGAUCGGAGGGGACAGGCACACGUGAUGGAGACAGAGCAACCUGCCUACUCCCAUGCAGCCCGGAAGGGGAGACUGACAGGGUAAGGAAGCCAACAGAAAUAGACUCAAGACGAAUCUCAGAUGUGUUGUGUGCAGGAAAGGAAGAAAAUGAGGAAGCAGAAUCCUCUUGCCCCUGGAGCCUAUGGGGCCAUCACAGGGCCAGGAGGUAACCUGAUCUCCAUCACCCAAGUAUCAUGCACGGAGCUGGGGCAAAACUCUGUCAAAGAUCACAAACAAAUUACUCAGUCAAAUGUAUCCGAGCCACCUCUGGUUCCUCACUUUUGUGUACAAGACAAUUGAACUUCUGAUAUUUGGUUCUGGCCCACUCAGCACUUCAGAGCCUUCAGCCGACCAUAACCCUGCCUCCCAGAGCUUAGAUCAAGCCAAAUAAGGAGCUCUACUCCUUUCCCAUAUAUCUGACCUAGCCCAUCACUGAAUUCCAUUUCUGCUAAAUACCGUGAUAGCACAGUGGGUCAGCACCCAAGUUCUGGAGCUACACUACCUGGGUUCAAAUUCUGGUUCUUAAUACUAAUAGGACCUCUAGCAAGUUAUUCGACCUGUGCCUUGGCUUAGUUUUCCCACGUGCAAAAUGGGGUUAAUAAAAACACCCAACAAAUAAA